rnacentral:tRNA from 1 species
AAAUCCGUCGACUUUAUAAGUUGGAGGGUUCAAGUCCCUCUAUCCCCAA